GGGGGCGUAGCCCAAUUGGCAGAGGCAGAGGACUUAAAAUCCUCAAAGUGUGGGUUCGAGUCCCACCGCCCCUAC
rnacentral:tRNA from 1 species